UGAAAAGAAAGAUCGUACUAAGAUCUUGCACAGACAUAAUCUAAAUGGGAUUCAAAGAGAGGUGUCAGGCCAGAGCUCCCACUCUGUCUCCAUUUGUGCUCUCCAGCCUGGGCACCAAGGACAACACACAAAUAAAACAGAGCUUCCCUCACCUGUCAUCACAGAUCACCUGUUUUGUAAGUGCUCCAGCUUGCCAGGAAAUGGUCUUCAAGGAGAAAGCAGACAGAACCAAACACCAAAAGACCCAGAGAAUACUGCUAUGUAAUAAGCAUUCAUUGGAGAGAGAAAUAGAGAUAAGAGGGAAAUUUACAGAACAGAAGCUUCAUAUUUGAUCAUCUCCAGCCUUCUUCUCUGGGUACCUGUGUGGCUGUAAGGAAUUUAAGGAUUCUAAGUAAGCUCUCAUCCUUAGUCUGUUAUUUCCAACUUGGCUCAGCAUCUCUCCUCUGGCACCCAAAGCUCCUGCCCUUACCGCCUUCAUCUUUCAGCACACAAAAUGAUCCUUGUCUUCUCCCAACUAGCGUAAAGUCAAGGGUUGAAGCAUAUUCAUCUUUAGCCCCAGGGCCAAUAAAGGCACAAGUACAUUGUUGGUGCUCAACAAAUGCUUAAGAAAUUAAAAUGGACAAAGCUUGAGAGAUCUCUGAACAUCAAUAAAAAUAUCUAGUUGUUAACAUAAAAUGAUGAAUUCAUGCCAGAACCUAAAGUUAAUGCUGUGGGCCCUAGAGCAAUAGUGUGGAUAUUGUCACCAAGGUCAUGCUCCCAUACACCAAGGUCAUCUUCCCUGGUCUGGUGCUUCUGGUAUCAUUCUGCACAUUGAACCUCUUUGGUUGAAGGCUGCUAAGGGAACAUUGAAGAACACAGCACAUUGUGAGGAAAAGGAAUAUAUUGAAUUAGGCUUUAAAGACUUGGCUUAAAGAAAUGGUGCUGAAUAAAUAUUUACUCAUUUGAACUGAA